UCUACUACAAACACGAAGGUUACCAAAAUUAGUUAUUUUUAGCGUAGUUGGCGACACAUUAAUUAAAUCGUCUGCUUAUGAUUCUGUGACAAUACACAGAUAGAAGCAAUUCUGGGAGCGAAGUAAAUACGGCCAUCAAACGCUAUUCAUGUCGAAUUCAAAAGAACGUUUCAUUUUAGGAGCGUAUAUAUUUGCAGCUGCUUUCCUCAUCAAGAAAAAAAAGAAAGGCUAAAAGAAAAACAUGGGCAAGACAAUGGCUGUUGAGACGUAAAACGCUGGGCUGCUAUGAAAAUUUAAUGCGUGAACUGGCAUUAGAGAAACUUUGUUAGGGGCUGCAAGAAUAUAACAAUUUUUUAGAACUGCUAGACAUGGAAAAGUUUGGGAACCUGUGCCUUAGAAGAUGAUAUUGUAAAGUUCAGUUUUGAACUAAUAAAUCUAAUAUCUAUGUGAA